CAGGCUUAACACAUGCAAGUCGAGGGGCAGCAUGGUCUUAGCUUGCUAAGGCCGAUGGCGGCCGGCGCACGGGUGAGUAACGCGUAUCCAACCUGCCUUACACUCUUGGACAGCCUUCUGAAAGGGAGAUUAAUACAAGAUGUUAUCAUGAGUAAGCAUUUUCGCAUGAUUAAAGGUUUACCGGUGUAAGAUGGGGAUGCGUUCCAUUAGAUAGUAGGCGGGGUAACGGCCCACCUAGUCUUCGAUGGAUAGGGGUUCUGAGAGGAAGGUCCCCCACAUUGGAACUGAGACACGGUCCAAACUCCUACGGGAGGCAGCAGUGAGGAAUAUUGGUCAAUGGACGAGAGUCUGAACCAGCCAAGUAGCGUGAAGGAUGAAGGUUCUAUGGAUUGUAAACUUCUUUUAUACGGGAAUAAACGAAUCCACGUGUGGAUUUUUGCAUGUACCGUAUGAAUAAGGAUCGGCUAACUCCGUGCCAGCAGCCGCGGUAAUACGGAGGAUCCGAGCGUUAUCCGGAUUUAUUGGGUUUAAAGGGAGCGUAGAUGGGUUGUUAAGUCAGUUGUGAAAGUUUGCGGCUCAACCGUAAAAUUGCAAUUGAUACUGGCAGUCUUGAGUACAGUUGAGGUAGGCGGAAUUCGUGGUGUAGCGGUGAAAUGCUUAGAUAUCACGAAGAACUCCGAUUGCGAAGGCAGCUUACUAACCUGUAACUGACAUUGAUGCUCGAAAGUGUGGGUAUCAAACAGGAUUAGAUACCCUGGUAGUCCACACGGUAAACGAUGAAUACUCGCUGUAGGCGAUAUACAGUCUGCGGCCAAGCGAAAGCAUUAAGUAUUCCACCUGGGGAGUACGCCGGCAACGGUGAAACUCAAAGGAAUUGACGGGGGCCCGCACAAGCGGAGGAACAUGUGGUUUAAUUCGAUGAUACGCGAGGAACCUUACCCGGGCUUAAAUUGCAACCGAAUAUGGCGGAAACGCUAUAGCUAGCAAUAGCGGUUGUGAAGGUGCUGCAUGGUUGUCGUCAGCUCGUGCCGUGAGGUGUCGGCUUAAGUGCCAUAACGAGCGCAACCCUUGCCGAUAGUUACUAACAGGUCAUGCUGAGGACUCUGUCGGGACUGCCAUCGUAAGAUGUGAGGAAGGUGGGGAUGACGUCAAAUCAGCACGGCCCUUACGUCCGGGGCUACACACGUGUUACAAUGGGGGGUACAGAGGGCUGCUACCACGCAAGUGGAUGCCAAUCCCAAAAACCUCUCUCAGUUCGGAUUGAAGUCUGCAACCCGACUUCAUGAAGCUGGAUUCGCUAGUAAUCGCGCAUCAGCCACGGCGCGGUGAAUACGUUCCCGGGCCUUGUACACACCGCCCGUCAAGCCAUGGGAGCCGGGGGUACCUGAAGUGCGUAACCGCAAGGAGCGCCCUAGGGUAAAACUGGUGACUGGGGCUAAGUCAUAAC
rnacentral:rRNA from 1 species